CAAUAGCGUAUAUUAAAGUUGUUGCAGUUAAAAAGCUCGUAGUUGGAUUUCUGGUGGGAGCGAUCGGUCUGGCGCUUAGCGCGAGUACUUGCAUCGUCUCCGGCCAUCCUUGGGGAGAGUCUGUCUGGCAUUAGGUUGUCGGGCAGAGGAUCCUCAUCGUUUACUGUAAAAAAAUUAGAGUGUUCAAAGCAGGCUUAUGCCGUUGAAUAUAUUAGCAUGGAAUAAUAAGAUAGGACUUUGGUACUAUUUUGUUGGUUUGCGCACCAAAGUAAUGAUUAAUAGGGACAGUUGGGGGUAUUCGUAUUCCGUUGUCAGAGGUGAAAUUCUUGGAUUUACGGAAGACGAACUACUGCGAAAGCAUUUACCAAGGAUGUUUUCAUUAA
rnacentral:rRNA from 1 species